rnacentral:rRNA from 1 species
GUAGGGGGCAAGCGUUGUCCGGAUUUAUUGGGCGUAAAGAGCGUGCAGGCGGCCUGAAAGGUCAGUUGUGAAAACUCGAGGCUCAACCUCGAGACGUCGGUUGAAACCAUCUGGCUAGAGUCCGGAAGAGGAGAGUGGAAUUCCCGGUGUAGCGGUGAAAUGCGCAGAUAUCGGGAAGAACACCCGUGGCGAAGGCGGCUCUCUGGGACGGUACUGACGCUGAGACGCGAAAGCGUGGGGAGCGAACAGGAUUAGAUACCCUGGUAGUCCACGCCGUAAACGAUGGGUGCUAGGUGUGGGGGGUGUCGACUCCCUCCGUGCCGAAGCUAACGCAUUAAGCACCCCGCCUGGGGAGUACGGCCGCAAGGCUA